CAUAUCACAGAAUCACAGAACUGUAGGGGUUGGAAGGGACCUCCAGAGAUCAUCGAGUCCAACCCCCCUGCCAAAGCAGGUUCCCUACAGCAGGUCGCACAGGUAGGCAUCCAGGCAGGUCUUGAACAUCUCCAGAGAAGGAGACUCCACCACCUCCCUGGGCAGCCUGUUCCAGUGCUCCGUCGCCUCACCGUAAAGAAGUUCUUGCGCACAUUUGUGCAGAACUUCCUGUGCUGCAGUUUCCGGCCGUUUCCCCUUGUCCUGCCUCCACUCACCACUGAAAAGAGUCCGGCCUCGCCAUUCUGCCCCCCACACCUUAGAUAUUUAUAGACCUGGAUCAGGUCCCCUCUCAGUCUUCUUUUCUCAAGGCUGAACAGACCCAGUUCACUCAGCCUUUCCUCAUAAGAGAGAUGCUCCAGGCCCUUCACCAUCUUUGUGGCCCUCCGCUGGACUCUUUCCAAGAGAUCCCUGUC